rnacentral:rRNA from 1 species
UGGGGAAUAUUGCACAAUGGGGGAAACCCUGAUGCAGCGACGCCGCGUGAGCGAUGAAGGCUUUCGAGUCGUAAAGCUCUGUCCUAUGGGAAGAUAAUGACGGUACCAUAGGAGGAAGCCCCGGCUAACUACGUGCCAGCAGCCGUGGUAAUACGUAGGGGGCGAGCGUUGUCCGGAAUUACUGGGCGUAAAGGGUUCGCAGGCGGCAUGGCAAGUCCGAUGUAAAAGGCGAAGGCUCAACCUUCGUAAGCAUCGGAAACUGUCAAGCUUGAGUGAAGGAGAGGCAAGUGGAAUUCCUAGUGUAGCGGUGGAAUGCGUAGAUAUUAGGAGGAAUACCGGUGGCGAAGGCGACUUGCUGGACUUCAACUGACGCUGAGGAACGAAAGCGUGGGUAGCAAACAGG